rnacentral:lncRNA from 1 species
UUGAGGAACUCCAGGCUAUUAUAAACUAUUUUAGGUUUCUCAUGCAGCAGAGGGUGCAAGAGAAAGGAGAGAGAGCAGAAGUAAAUGAAGAAAACAGAAUUCUGUCAACUGAGAAGAAGAAAAAUUUGUCUCAAAAAAAGACAGGGUCCUAGACAGAGAAAAAACAAACCCAAAACAUAAAAUCCUUUUAAAGACACACACACACACACACACACACACACACAUAUCGGAUGUUAGCUUUUAAUUAAGCUGACUUUUAACCAUUGAGCUCCUUUAAAAAAAUCUGUUUAAAUCUCAUUGCCGUAUUUCUGCUUGGACAAAUUGCUGCUGUUUCAGAAGUACCAAAUAUCAAACCUUUCAGAAAGGGCUUGAUUUAGGAACCAAACCUAGGCUGUCAUGAAAAAAAGAAGGCAGAACCUUAUGUAUGGAACUGCAGCCUGAGGUGAUAGCUAUUGCUCCUUCAGUUUGGCCUGGCUAGCAAAAACGUGGCAUUGUUUUGUGAAUAAAGCCCCUUAAGGAGUCAAAUAAAAAAUCUUUCCUUUUUUUCUUUUGCUGGCCGUUUUUCUCCCUCCACCAUGCCACUUUUUUUUCUUGUUUUUUUUUUUUUUUUUUUUUUUUGUGGGAAUUUAGCCACUUCAGAGGCCUCGUUCCCCAUAAUUUGGAACUUUCCUUCAAAUUUGAUCAAGUUGCAUAGAGUUGGUCAAACCCAAGGGGAAAAAGACCGAAACAACAACAAAAAGAAACAGUAAAGCAAAACAAAUGAUCACACAACCUAUACAAGUACUGAGAGCUCUAAUGGUAAGGAGAAAUUAAGACCAGCUGGUUGUUAAUCAUAACUGUAGCCAAGACAAACCCUAAUUCAGUUACUUAGGGAUGGGUUUCAUGCUGAAGACUGCCCUCUACCAUCCUAGAAGCAGGAAAAGACUCAAACCUGUCCUCCCUGUUGGAAGCAAGCUCAAAACUCCGUAAAGGAGUUACUUGCCUUCCAUUGUCACGGAAGCAGGAAAACUUGCCUUCCUUGUGUCGGAAGCAAGUAAAACUCAGAAACAAAAAAGGAGUUGUACAGCAAAAUAAACUUUAGAUCACCUCCACUCAGAAUCCCUUGGUGGUUACCAAAAUGUGAACCCUGAAUAACUGAGACAGGUCUCAGUUAAUUUAGAAGGUUUAUUUUGCCAAGGUUGAGGACCCUGUGACACAGCCUCAGGAGGUCCUGAUGAUAUGUGCCCAAGGUGGUCCAAGCACAGGUUGGUUUUAUACAUUUUAGGGAGACAUGAGACAUCAGUAUAUGUAAGAUGUUCCUUGGUUCUGUUGGGAACGGCAGGACAACUUGAAGCAGGGAGGGGGCUUCGAGGUCCCAGGUAGGUGAGAGACAAACACUUGGAUUCUUUUGAGUUUCUGAUUAGCCUUUCCAAAGGAGGCAAUCAGAUACGCAUUUAUCUCAGUGAGCGGAGGGAUGGCUUUGAACAGAAUGAGAGGCAGGUUUGCCCUAAGCAGUUCCCAGCUUGACUUUUCCCUUUAGCUUAGUGAUUUCUGGGGCCCCAAGAUUUAUUUUCCUUUCACAGGGGCCAUGUUAUGUAGAAGCCAGGCUGAGAAGGAAUCUGAUUCCUUAUAUUGGUUAUAUUUUUUUCUGAAAUAAAUGUUAGCUUUUAUUUUCCCUCCAAGCUGCAAGAGCCAUUGAACUCUGACUUCUGUGCUUCUCACAUUUAAAGCCUCCUGAUUUGAGUACUUAGUACCUGCCAGACAUUAGCAGGUAGGAGUUACUAUUCCCACCUGACAGUCAAGGAAAGGCUCAGAGAGGUUCUGUAACUGGGCUGGGGCCACAGAGCUAGUAGAUGAUAGAGCUAGGAUUCAAACCCAGAUCUGCCUAACUUCAGAUCAAGGUUAGUGGUGCUGUUUCCACACCACCCUAAAUGGCCUACUUAAUAAUGAAAUUUAUGAUGCCAGCUGAUGAUAAGAAUCACUGGGUGUUAAGAUUCUUGGUUGCUAAUGAACUUGAAUUAGCUCAAACAAUAAAGAUGAUUUUUUUUUUUGUAUCAGCUAACCAAACCCCAGGAAGGAUAGAAAUACAGCUGGCCUGAUGGAUAAUUGUAUCCAGGGACUCAAAUGCCAUUAGCUCUUAUACUUUGAUUAAAAUAUACUUUAAAAAGAUGCUGUUAGUGGCCGGGCAUGGUGGCUCACCCUAUAAUCCCAGCACUUUGGGAGGCCAAGGCGGGCAGUUCGUGAGGUCAAGAGAUUGAGACCAGCCUGGCCAACAUGGUGAAACCCCGUCUCUACUAAAAAUACAAAAAUUAGCUAGGCGUGGUGGCAGGUGCCUGUAGUCCCAGCCACUCAGGAGGCUGAGGCAGGAGAAUCGGUUGAACCGGGGAGGCGGAGGUUGCAGUGAGCUGAGAUCGCGCCAUUGCACUCCAGCCUGGCAACAGAGCAAGACUCCAUCUCAAAAAAAAAAAAAAAAAAGAUGCUGUUAGCUAGCCUGGCCAACAUGGCGAAACCCCAUCUCUACUAAAAAAUACAAAAAUUACCUGGAUGUGGUGGUGGGUGCCUGUAGUCCCAGCUAUUUGGGAAGCUGAGGCAGGGAGAAUUGCUUGAAUCUGGGAGGCAGAGUUGUAGUGAGCUGAGAUCGUGCUACUGCACUCCAGCCUGGGCGACAGUGUGAGACUUCGUCUCAAAAAAAAAAAAAAAUGCUGUUAGAUCUCUCCCUCUCACUUGUUUCCCUUUCGAUGUUGGCUUUCUUCUCUCGGGCCAGCUGUCUACCAGAUGGAACCAUGGUUUCCUGCUUUACAGUUUUGUUAUCAGAAGAGUUUUUCUCACUUCAAUUAGAAAGUUCUGAGUGAGGACUCCUGAUUGGACUGUUAGGGGUCGUGUGCCCAGACCUAUGAGAUCACCGUGGCCAGGUGACAGGGAGCUGUAAGUGGCCCAGCCUGGGUCAGGGGGCUGCCCUGUAGCCAGGGACAAGGUUCUCAUUGUGUCAGUCUCCACCUUAAGCUGCAUUUGCCCCAAAGAAGUAUGUGUGAUGAGGAGACAAGGAAUGCCUGACAUCUGUCUUUAAAUUGUCAAACACAUUCUUCUAAGUCUUUCCAUUACGGGUUAUCCCAAGCUAGGAAUAACUGGUGAGUAGUUUCUUGACCUUUUUUCCAGACCUUUUUUGGUGAAUUAUGUUAAGCUGUGACCCAGGCACAAAUGGGGAGGCCAUACUUUGGUGGAGCCUGGGUCACAUAAAUAUGGUGACCUUACUAGAAAUUCUUUCCUACUUACUCAUUGUUUAAUAAUGAACAGAACUCUGGCCUAUCUUCUUUUGUCAUUGUUUAACACCCACCUCACUACCUCCCACCUCUCCUGCUAAACAAAAUUAGCCUUCAGCAGGUCAAAACAGAUUUUUAGCUAACUUCCGUUUCUUGAAUAGCAUAUGAUAAGAACUCAAGUUAGCCAGGUUUGUUCUCCUGCCUGUAGGUGGUUGAUUGGGUUUGUGAUACUGUGAUACAUUGCAUAUCUGCUCCUCUGAGGUAGCCCAAAUAAUCUGGUGGGGGAAAUAUGCUGUUUUAAUGUUAUUUUGUGACCUUUGGCAAGAGAUUUUAUCCUCCAGCCUCAACUUCCAUAUCUGUAAACUAGGACUAUUCUGCCAAAUAUUACGAAGGGUCAUGAAAAAUGAGAGAUCAGGCUGGGCGUAGUGGCUCACGAUUGUAAUCCCAGCACUUUGGGAGGCUGAGGCAGUAGGCUUGCUUGAGCCCAAGGGUUUGAGACCAGCCUGGGCAAAGCUGGGAGACCCUGUCUACCAAAAAAAGAAAAAGUUACUUGGGCAUGGUGGCGUGUGCUGAAGUGGGAGGAUCGCUUGAGCCUAGGAGGUCGAGGCUGCAGUGAGCCAUGAUCAUAUUACUGCACUCCAGCCAAAAAAAAGAGUGCUGUCAGGGAAUCUGGGAUUCAUAAGCAUUUCCCUUGACUGCUCUUCUUUCCUUUCUUUUAUUAUACCUCUCUUCUCUCUGUACCCCCUAUACCUUUUGCUCUGGCUUUUGUUACAUCCUGUAUUAAAAUUUUAGAUAAUUUAUGUUAUUUUUCUUUUUUGAGACAAAGUCUCGCUCUGUCACCCAGGCUGGAGUGCAGUGGUGCAAUCUCAGCUCACUGCAACCUCUGCUUCCCGGGUUCAAUGAGUUCUCAUGCCUCAGCCUCCUGAGUAGCUGGGACUACCGGUGCACACCACCAUGCCUGGAUAAUUUUUUUUGGUAUUUUUAGUAGAGACAGAGUUUUGCCACAUUGCCCAGGCUGAUCUUGAACUCCUGGCCUCUAGCAAUUCACCCGCCCUAGCCUCCUGAUGUGCUGGGAUUACAGGCCUGAGCCACCAUGCCCGGCCUAAAAAUUUAGAUAAUUUAUUGGAAUGUUGUGUGCCAAUGAAAAGCAAAUCCUAAGCUCCUGCAACAUCAUCUCAUGUUUAAUUGUCAGGGUUUGUGGGCCCUCUGGGUCAGGGGAUGAGCAGUGAAUUGGCAGAGAGGGGUGUAGGGAGGGUAGAGAAGGAGAGCAUUUCAAAACUAAUGAGGCUUGGAAGGGAAGGAAGAAAAGAAACUUAAAAUGCAGUUUCUGGGCUUGGUUGUAAAAAUCUUGAAAGUGAGGGAGAUAAAAAUAGUUGCUUGUUAGGACCUGGCAGGCAUGCUCUGGAGGCUCCCUGUUUGAAUUCAGUUGCUAAUCAGGAGGUGGGAAACAACCUCUGGUUCCUGCUGUUAGCACCUUUCUUGCAGUUGGCCUUGUCAAGAAGGAUAAUGGGCUGGAGCUGAGAAAGAAGCAUCGUGCUCACUCGCUAAACUGGAGUGGAGAACUAUUCUCUCCUUACUGAAUUUCAGGGAUUUCAGCCUGCCCCAAGUCAAAUCCUUGUUCCCAGAAAUAAAGCUCAUUACAUCUGUAAUGUGAAUGAUUCCUUCCCCGGCCACAGCUCAAUAAGGGCUCUUGUGAAACUUUGGAGUACAACUUAUUAUGGGUUGCCUUUAGUCCUGUUGUCUGGGCCCUGAUUUUUUAGAUCCUGGAGAGAACGCUCCCUCAGGGGUCUGAGUUCUAACCCUUGGCCCUAUCGUUAACUCCCUGUGCCACCCUAACAGGUGACGCCUUCCUAUUCUAGGCCUCAGUGUUUCUCAUCUGUGUGCAAUGGUUUAUAAUGCUUACCUCACAGUGUUACUGUAAGGAUUAAAGAAGAUAGUAUAUUUGAACUGGGGAGGCGGAGGUUGCAGUGAGCUGAGAUCAUGCCACUGCACGCUAGCCUGGGUGACAGAGUAAGACUUGUCUCAAAAAAAAAAAAAAAAGUAUAUUUAAAAGGCCUGACAUAGCAGGUGUUCCAUAAAUCAGAGCUGUUGUAGGAUCUUCUUAGGUCUGCUAGGCUCGCCUGCACCUCUCAUUCUCCCACCUAGUCUCUCAGCUGCAUCCUGGCUUUUUUUUCCCAAUGCUCUUGGGGAAGGAAAUUUGGGUGGGGGAAAAGAGCUUACAGGUAAUGGCUAAUUGAAGAGUUGGGGAUUUUCUCAGAAUUUUAAUUAUCUCUGCUACUUAAUUAGCUCCUUGAGGCCAUGGAUAGCUGGAGGUGGCUCUGUAGAGGGUGCGAUUUGACUCAUCCAGGUCAGCUCCCUUUCUCUCUGUUUCUUCAUCUUUAGUGGGGAGAGUUAUUAAGGCUUUGCCAAGGAUACUAAGAAGAGGUUGUUUGAAGCCUAAAGUCGCCAUUUUAAAAAAUCUUCAUUUGCCUUUUUUUAAAAUCCUUUAACUGUUGCUUAUCUACUUUUGGAUUCAGCCUUUGUCACAGAUGAGCAAGAAUCCAGCUUCCCUGUGUCACUCUGCUUGCUUCUCAGCAGCCCCUUGCUCCUUCCUUCCACCUCUUCUCUUUCUUUUGGGCUCCCCACUUCACCCCUCCACUGCCUUUCUCUUCCCCCAAGCCCCACCGUCUUCCAUCUUGCCUUAGGGAAUUCAGCUGCUUUUAAUAUUAGCCUAAACCAAACAAAAUGAAGGUAUUAGGAUAUAGUGGAAACACAUAGAAGGCCGAGAUUCACCUUGGUUCAUCUACCUGCCGGGGGCCUUGUCAGCUACUCAGGCUAUCAUCUGAUGGGUGGCACCCAUCCCACCUGGUUGGAAGAAUUUAGAACGAGUCCACGGGGCCUUGACCACAUCUUCAUCUUUGCCCUUACACGUGCACAUGUUCUUGUCAUUUGUUGGAUUCUGUCUCCCCUGAUGGUGACAAUCCCUGUGUCCUUUUUACUCUUAGCUCAGUGCAGAUACUCUGUGUUUCUAGAAUAAAUAAAUGACUCCCUAAAUUGUUUUAUCCAAACACCUUAUUUUAGAGGGGUAGAAAAUACUUAAUAGUUAAACUUCAAAAUGUGUGCUCUUGAGGGAAAAAUCAGGAGGCUUUGAAUAGUGUUAUUCCUGGGACAGAAAAUAUCGGAGAAGAACAUACUUUCUGAGUUUUUCAUAAAACCUCCUUGUUCAUUUUUGAGGAAGGAGGGGUUACCCAUACUCAUUGUCACAGAAGCUGAGCAGAAUUGGGGUUAUUAGAUCUCAGCCUCCUGUGGGAUUCCUAGGGAAGCUUAUGAGCCUGGGAGCCUACUGGGUGGUUGAUGCUUCCUCCAGAAUGUAGCCUGGCCAGCCAGCUGCUGGGGACCCUCUCAGCAUCACCUUUCAGUUAUCAAAGGAUCAGAAAGAGAACGCAAGGCCCAGAGGUGGCCUCAGGAAGUAGAGAAGGACUGGGCCUGUGAUUUGAAUGUUUGAGGGCUCUGCUAGGAGAAUGUGAGAGGAAGCCCAGUUAAUCCUCCCAGGACUCCAGGAGCAGGGCAUUAUCCCAAGUUGGGAAGGGGAUUCAGAAGAACUAGGCAUCUAGGAGUAGAGGUGACAGGGUGAUUUGAAAGGAAGACUUUUUAGAUGCAAGGACCAGCACAAGAGAAGGCGAGACUCUUACACAGGGGCAGUUAGAGAGGCAGGCCAGCCCCAACCAGGAAGAAGUGGAUAAGAUGCUGGAGACAGGAACAGUGUGUGAAGGGCCUGGCUAUUGUGGGAAGCAAGUGUGGGGUGCUGAGGAAGAUCAAGAAAUGAAUUCUCUCUGGACUUGUCUGCCAUCAUGUACCUCUUUUCUGUCCCCAGAGAAGAGCUAGACUUGGGUGUGGCAGGAGCAGGGGCAAGAGGGAUGUCCUAGCCUGGCGGCUCCAGCAGCAUGCUCUGGGGUUCAGUGAUCUCAUGUGCCCAGGUUUCCAGGUGGCUUCUUGUGAGGCCCUCCGGGAUCUGGCUCCCAGGACCAAUGUGGUCUAGCAGUGAAAAGCCCCUCAGAAUUUCCCUUCUCCUCCUCUCCAACCCCUUCCAUCUCUGCUGCCUCCUAGGCAGUGUUUUUCCCUGGAGCGGGUGGGAGAAGCUGGAGCUGACAGCCAGGGAUGGUGGCAAGCUGUGUUAUGUAAGUUUGAAAAAAGGAGGCUUGCUUGCCAUGUGAAUAGAGAUCAGAUACAAGGACAGCUAGAGGCAGCACAGCCAUGCCUGAGCAGCAGCUGUAGUCUGAAGAGAGGUGUCUGAGCCAGCAGAGGAAGAAGCUGCUGGACUGGGUGGAGGAGACUGUUCUUGUGGGGAAGGAGAGGUGUCUGGUUCUGUGAACUGCCGAUCUUGGAGGGCAGCCUGUGAAGCAAUCAUUGUCUAUUCCUAUAACAUGGUGUGCUGCUUAUAUGCCAUGCCUUAUUACAUCAAUCCUGGUCUGUAACUUGUGAUGGUAUGAGAGCCGCCAUUGUGACUGUUUCAAUCAUGGCAAACCAUGGCCCAGAAAAGUCAAGUGACUUGCUCACGGCUGCAUGUAGAGUAAGUGGCAGGGUCAGGAUUUGACACAGGGCUUCUGUCUCACUAGCCAGUGCUGCUCUUUUACUCUAAAACAGGCUUAACAGAUCAUGCCUAAACAGCCCAUGGGGAGAGUGUGGGCCGGGUGAGGGAGCCUGGUGCCGUGUGGCCUGGCAUGGAUGAGAGGCAAUGGCACUGGGUGGGAGGAGUGGAAGAGGGCUUGUGUUGGAGCCCCUUGGUGUGCCGCCCCAGCAGGCGCUGUCACACCCCUUACCCUUCUCAGUCUCGUUCCAUUUUCAGCAUCAUUUUCCAAAUCCUGAACACCUGACCUCCAGGGGCCAGGUACCCAACACCGGUCCUCUGAGGGGCCAUGGGCAUGGUGGGAUGAGGAGGUACACCUCCAACAAGCAACUGCUGGACUCAUGCCUCGGCUGAAGUGUUUGUGGGCUCUGUCCUAACACUAGGCCCAGGGAAAGAACAGAGCUCGCCCCUCUCCUCCCGAAGUUCAGAAUCUCCCCAUGGUUCUCUGAGAGGCUGCAUGGCUCGCUCCCUCUCUCUGUUCACAUCGUUGCUCAAAUGUCCUCUCCUCACAGGGCCGUUCCUUGCCACCCUGUCACAACAGUACCCCCUUACUCUCUCUGUCCUCACAGGG